GUUUACGGCCAUACCACCUUGAAUACGCCCGAUCUCGUCCGAUCUCGGAAGCUAAGCAGGGUCGGGCUCGGUUAGUACUUGGAUGGGAGACCGCCUGGGAAUACCGAGUGCUGUAAGCU
ensembl:rRNA 5S_rRNA 5S ribosomal RNA